rnacentral:rRNA from 1 species
GGCUCAGAUUGAACGCUGGCGGCAUGCCUUACACAUGCAAGUCGAACGGCAGCACGGGACUUCGGUCUGGUGGCGAGUGGCGAACGGGUGAGUAAUGUAUCGGAACGUACCUUUCAGUGGGGGAUAACGUAGCGAAAGUUACGCUAAUACCGCAUAUUCUGUGAGCAGGAAAGCAGGGGAUCGCAAGACCUUGCGCUGAUUGAGCGGCCGAUAUCAGAUUAGCUAGUUGGUGAGGUAAAGGCUCACCAAGGCGACGAUCUGUAGCGGGUCUGAGAGGAUGAUCCGCCACACUGGAACUGAGACACGGUCCAGACUCCUACGGGAGGCAGCAGUGGGGAAUUUUGGACAAUGGGGGCAACCCUGAUCCAGCCAUGCCGCGUGAGUGAAGAAGGCCUUCGGGUUGUAAAGCUCUUUCGGCCGGGAAGAAAUCGCAUGGGCUAAUACCCUGUGCGGAUGACGGUACCGGCAUAAGAAGCACCGGCUAACUACGUG